AGGGUAAAAAACCGUAAAAACCGUUUAAACAGACUGACACGGUAGAAGUCGUUGGUUCAAAUCCAACCGUGCCUACCA
rnacentral:tRNA from 1 species